UACGUAGGGUGCAAGCGUUAAUCGGAAUUACUGGGCGUAAAGCGUGCGCAGGCGGUGAUGUAAGACAGAUGUGAAAUCCCCGGGCUCAACCUAGGAACUGCAUUUGUGACUGCAUCGCUGGAGUGCGGCAGAGGGGGAUGGAAUUCCGCGUGUAGCAGUGAAAUGCGUAGAUAUGCGGAGGAACACCGAUGGCGAAGGCAAUCCCCUGGGCCUGCACUGACGCUCAUGCACGAAAGCGUGGGGAGCAAACGGG
rnacentral:rRNA from 1 species